CUAAAGGGUUGUUCGAGACUAGAACGUUGAUAGGCAGGGUGUGUAAGCGUUGUGAGGCGUUGAGCUAACCUGUACUAAUUGCCCGUGAGGCUUAACCAU
rnacentral:rRNA from 1 species